UUAUACCAAAUAUCUGACCAAUCAGAUCAAAAUAUCCGGACAAUAUAUCAAGAAAGCAGGCAGAGUGUGAUGGUCCAUGCCUGUUAUUCCAGCACUUUGGGAGGCUGAGCAGGAGGAUUGCUUAGGAGCUCGAGACCAGCCCAGGCAACAUAGCAAGACCUGUCUCUAAAAAAAAAAAAAAAAAAAAAAAAAAAAAAAAAAAUGAGCUGGGCAUGGUGUCACUUGCUUGUAGUCAUAGCUUGAGCCAGGAGGAUCCUUGAGUCCAGGAGUUUGAGGUUAGAGUGAGCUAUGAUUGUUCCACUACACUCUAGUCCAGGUAACAGAGCAAGACCCUAUCUCUUAAAAAAAAUGGAAAGCAGGGCCGGGCACAGUAGCUCACGCCUGUGGUCCCAGCACUUUGGGAGGCUGAGGCGGGUGGAUCAUGAGGUCAAGAGAUCGAGACCAUCCUGGUCAAUAUGGUGAAACCCUGUCUCUACUAAAAAUACCAAAAAAAUUAGCUGGGCAUGGUGGUGCGUGCCUGUAAUCCCAGCUACUCAGGAGGCUGAGGCAGGAGAAUUUCCUGAACCCAGGAGGUGGAGGUUGCGGUGAGCCGAGAUCGCACCAUUGCACUCCAGCCUGGGUAACAAGAGUGAAACUCCGUCUCAAAACAAACAAACAAACAAAAAAACAGAAAGCAGUGCCUCCUUGUGCUUCAAUAUGCAUUUAUGUGUUUAAGAUAAAAUAAAAUUUUAUGAUGUAUAUUUAUAGUUUUCCAUCAUUUUUCACUAAUGGUUUUGUCAUUUUUUUCUUUUCUUUCUUUUUUAUUUUUAUUCACCAACUACCUACCUUCCCUAAUUCGUAGGUCAGAAGGACUUCUACUACGAUUCUCCCUCUUAAUUUCUUCUGGAUGUUUCCUCAUCUCAAACUAUAUAGACACUGGAAAUCAGCAUCUUCAUUUCAAGUCCAGAUCCUUUACAGGUCAUUGGAGACCCAAGGUCAAAUAAGAAAGUCUAGCAAGAGGGAAUCCAGAUUCAAGAUGGUGCGGUAAGAACAACUAAGGAUUGCAGCUCUCAGUGAAGGUGCAGAGGGUGAGUCAAAGCCGCAUUUCCAGAUGGAUCUUUGUUGCCCACAGAAAGGGGAAAUUCCCAGGUGUAGGAGAGACACGGGAUGCCAGCACAGCUGUUUCAGCUGGUGGGGCCAUUUCGGCUGGUGCCGCAGCACAGCGGCACGCCGCCCACACCGCACAAAACGCACUGGUCUGGGUACCCUGUUAAACUGGCAAUCUGAGACUUGGGAGGGCAGAUUAGCAUAUUUAUCUGAUUAAACGGGACUUGGACAGUGAGCCAGACCAGGAGAUUCCUGGGAAGUGGUGUUUGAGCCAGCGCAGUGGGUCACCGCAUGGGAAAUCACACAGAUCCUGGUGCCCUAUCAGCAGGUGAUUGAAACACCUGGGAGAGAGUCAACCGUUCAACUUAAAAAAAAAAAAGCGCUCUGAGGCAGGGAGCCAGGUGAUCAGGCUCAGUGGGUUUUACCCCCACAGGGCCAAAAAAACCAGUGAUUCGAAACACUCGGGUUUGAGAGUUUCACUGCAGGCACAGCUGAACCCAGGACGGUGCAGCUUGGUGGGGGAGGGGCAUCCACCAUUACCGAGGCAAUCCGCCCCUACUGAAGUACACUCCCAUUGCUGACGCAGCCUGCCAUUGCCGAGGCAACCUGCCAUAACAGAGAGACUCCGCUGCAGGGCGGAGCCCGCGGCAGCAGGGCAGAACCGUGGCAGCAGGGCAGAACCAUGCCAGCAGGGCAGAGCCUUAGCAGGCAAAUAGUGACUAGACUGCCUCCUAGCUGGGCAGGACAGUGCAACGGGUACUCAUAAAGAAAGCCCUAACUUCCCGAGACAGAGUGUCUGAGGAAAAAAAGGGGUUUUAUGAGUUCUGCUGCAGCAAACGUAUCAGCC
ensembl:lncRNA